CCUACGGGAGGCAGCAGUGAGGAAUAUUGGUCAAUGGACGAGAGUCUGAACCAGCCAAGUAGCGUGAAGGAUGACUGCCCUAUGGGUUGUAAACUUCUUUUAUAUGGGAAUAAAAUGUUCCACGUGUGGGAUUUUGUAUGUACUUUAUGAAUAAGGAUCGGCUAACUCCGUGCCAGCAGCCGCGGUAAUACGGAGGAUCCGAGCGUUAUCCGGAUUUAUUGGGUUUAAAGGGAGCGUAGGUGGAUUGUUAAGUCAGUUGUGAAAGUUUGCGGCUCAACCGUAAAAUUGCAGUUGAUACUGGCAGUCUUGAGUACAGUAGAGGUGGGCGGAAUUCGUGGUGUAGCGGUGAAAUGCUUAGAUAUCACGAAGAACUCCGAUUGCGAAGGCAGUUCACUGAACUGCAACUGACACUGAGGCUCGAAAGUGUGGGUAUCAAACAGGAUUAGAUACCCUAGUAGUC
rnacentral:rRNA from 1 species